GGGGGCGUUCUGGAUUCGACGCCGGUUACGAAACCUGUGGUGCAUGCCGAGAUGGUGACCAAUCUCGUAAAUCCAAAGUCACAAACUUAUAGUUGCCAACGACGACAACUACGCGCUAGCUGCUUAAAAACCAGUGUAGUGCCAUCUGACUGGAGCCGUGCCUGUGCGUCCAGAGUCUGAAGUUCCUCGGAAUUAAGACGAUCGGGUGUCAUAUUUCAUAGGAUCGUAAUGAAACUUGUUCGGGGUGGAAUUAUUAAAAAUUUACCGAAAUCGCCAAAUGCACUCCCUGACAGUCGGGUCGCAAAUGGUUAAAUUUAGUAGACUGCUCUAAGCAUGUAGAGCUAUAGGCAGAGAACUGACGGACGCGGGUUCAAAUCCCGCCGCCUCCACCA
rnacentral:tmRNA from 1 species